GCAUAAGUAACAGGUCGUAGACCCGAAACCAGGUGAUCUACCCAUGUCCAGGAUGAAGGUAAGGUAAUACUUACUGGAGGUCCGAACCCACGCACGUUGAAAAGUGCGGGGAUGAGGUGUGGGUAGCGGAGAAAUUCCAAUCGAACUUGGAGAUAGCUGGUUCUCUCCGAAAUAGCUUUAGGGCUAGCCUCGAGGUAAAGAGUCAUGGAGGUAGAGCACUGUUUGGACUAGGGGCCCUUCUCGGGUUACCGAAUUCAGAUAAACUCCGAAUGCCAUGUACUUAUACUCGGGAGUCAGACUGCGAGUGAUAAGAUCCGUAGUCGAAAGGGAAACAGCCCAGACCACCAGUUAAGGUCCCCAAAUAUAUGUUAAGUGGAAAAGGAUGUGGGGUUGCUUAGACAACCAGGAUGUUGGCUUAGAAGCAGCCACCAUUGAAAGAGUGCGUAAUAGCUCACUGGUCGAGUGACCCCGCGCCGAAAAUGUACCGGGGCUAAACAUAUUACCGAAACUGUGGAUGAACCUCUUUAGAGGUUCGUGGUAGGAGAGCGUUCUAAGGGCGGUGAAGUCAGACCGGAAGGACUGGUGGAGCGCUUAGAAGUGAGAAUGCCGGUAUGAGUAGCGAAAGAAGGGUGAGAAUCCCUUCCACCGAAUAUCUAAGGUUUCCUGAGGAAGGCUCGUCCGCUCAGGGUUAGUCGGGACCUAAGCCGAGGCCGAUAGGCGUAGGCGAUGGACAACAGGUAGAGAUUCCUGUACCAGUGCUAAUUGUUUAACCGAUGGGGUGACACAGAAGGAUAGGGAAUCGCACGAAUGGAAAUGUGCGUCCAAGCAGUGAGUGUGAGAAGUAGGCAAAUCCGCUUCUCGCGAAGCAUGAGCUGUGAUGGGGAAGGAAAUUAAGUACGGAAGUUCCUGAUUUCACGCUGUCAAGAAAAGCCUCUAGGAAGAGUAGUACUGCCCGUACCGCAAACCGACACAGGUAGAUGAGGAGAGAAUCCUAAGGUGAGCGAGAGAACUCUCGUUAAGGAACUCGGCAAAAUGACCCCGUAACUUCGGGAGAAGGGGUGCUCUAUUAGGGUGCAAGCCCGAGAGAGCCGCAGUGAAUAGGCCCAGGCGACUGUUUAGCAAAAACACAGGUCUCUGCAAAACCGUAAGGUGACGUAUAGGGGCUGACGCCUGCCCGGUGCUGGAAGGUUAAGAGGAGUGCUUAGCUUCGGCGAAGGUACGAAUUGAAGCCCCAGUAAACGGCGGCCGUAACUAUAACGGUCCUAAGGUAGCGAAAUUCCUUGUCGGGUAAGUUCCGACCCGCACGAAAGGCGCAACGAUCUGGGCACUGUCUCAACGAGAGACUCGGUGAAAUUAUAGUACCUGUGAAGAUGCAGGUUACCCGCGACAGGACGGAAAGACCCCGUGGAGCUUUACUGCAACCUGAUAUGGAAUGUUUGUACCGCUUGUACAGGAUAGGUAGGAGCCGAAGAGACGUGUGCGCUAGCAUACGAGGAGGCAAUGGUGGGAUACUACCCUGGCUGUAUGACCAUUCUAACCCGCCACGCUUAGCGCGUGGGGAGACAGUGUCAGGUGGGCAGUUUGACUGGGGCGGUCGCCUCCUAAAGAGUAACGGAGGCGCCCAAAGGUUCCCUCAGAAUGGAUGGAAAUCAUUCGCAGAGUGUAAAGGCACAAGGGAGCUUGACUGCGAGACUGACAAGUCGAGCAGGGACGAAAGUCGGGCUUAGUGAUCCGGUGGUUCCGCAUGGAAGGGCCAUCGCUCAACGGAUAAAAGCUACCCCGGGGAUAACAGGCUUAUCUCCCCCAAGAGUCCACAUCGACGGGGAGGUUUGGCACCUCGAUGUCGGCUCGUCGCAUCCUGGGGCUGUAGUCGGUCCCAAGGGUUGGGCUGUUCGCCCAUUAAAGCGGCACGCGAGCUGGGUUCAGAACGUCGUGAGACAGUUCGGUCCCUAUCCGUCGCGGGCGCAGGAAAUUUGAGAGGAGCUGUCCUUAGUACGAGAGGACCGGGAUGGACACACCGCUGGUGUACCAGUUGUUCCGCCAGGAGCAUCGCUGGGUAGCUAUGUGUGGCAGGGAUAAACGCUGAAAGCAUCUAAGCGUGAAGCCCCCCUCAAGAUGAGAUUUCCCAUUUCUUCGGAAAGUAAGAUCCCUGAAAGAUGAUCAGGUAGAUAGGUUUGGAGUGGAAGUGUAGCGAUACAUGGAGCGGACAAAUACUAAUCGAUCGAGGACUUAACCAAAA
rnacentral:rRNA from 1 species